rnacentral:misc_RNA from 1 species
UACGGAGGGUGCAAGCGUUGUCCGGAAUCACUGGGUGUAAAGGGUGUGUAGGUGGGACUGUAAGUCAGGGGUGAAAGCCCACGGCCUAACCGUGGAAUUGCCUUUGAUACUGCAGUUCUUGAGUCCCGGAGAGGUUACUAGAAUUCGUGGUGUAGCGGUGAAAUGCGUAGAUAUCACGAGGAAUACCAGAGGCGUAGGCGGGUAACUGGACGGGUACUGACACUGAGGCACGAAAGCGUGGGGAGCAAACAGG